GGCGAUUGCAAUGAUGAUAACAUUUUCCCAGCUCAUUAUGAGACCUUAUUUUUAAGGUCUGGGAAUAUACUCCGUUUCCAACACAUAUAUAUAUAUCUGAGCUUCGCC